AACGAACGCUGGCGGCAUGCCUAACACAUGCAAGUCGAACGAGACCUUCGGGUCUAGUGGCCCCCGGGUGCGUAACGCGGGGGAACCUGCCCUUAGGUUCGGAAUACCUCCCCGAAAGGGGUGCUAAUACCGGAUAAUGUCUUCGGACCAAAGAUUUAUCGCCUUUGGAUGGGCCCGCGUUGGAUUAGCUAGUUGGUAGGGUAAAAGCCUACCAAGGCGACGAUCCAUAGCUGGUCUGAGAGGAUGAUCAGCCACACUGGGACUGAGACACGGCCCAGACUCCUACGGGAGGCAGCAGUGGGGAAUAUUGGACAAUGGGCGGAAGCCUGAUCCAGCAAUGCCGCGUGAGUGAUGAAGGCCUUAGGGUUGUAAAGCUCUUUUACCCGGGAUGAUAAUGACAGUACCGGGAGAAUAAGCUCCGGCUAACUCCGUG
rnacentral:rRNA from 1 species